AGUCACUCCUUAUUGAGUUUCUGUGGGCUUGUAAUGCUGGUGAGUCCCUUUCAUUUGUAUCUGAUUAUCUGAAAGGAUGAAAGCUGAAGUGAACAGAGAAAAGGAAAAUCAGAUGCCUGGGGCAGUGAAAAGAUAAACGCCUUUUCUAGGAUGAAUUAUACGUUCUUCAUUGUGAGGAGAGCCAGUUCAGAAAUUGGAACCUGAGGCCUGGCGGGAUCCAGCAACAAAGGCAACCCUCCAACCUCUGCUUUCCAGAUGGAAACCAGAUAUCCAGACUAGGGCCUUCACUUGCAGAUGUGCUGCAUUACCAUGUAUGAUGUGGAUUCUGGGCUGACCCUGACUGCUAUCUCCAGUCUGGCUCUGCUCUUCUUGCUUGACUACCAUGGGUCUGGAUUCUGUCCGGUAAUAGGGCCUCUGCCCUACUGUCCUUCUUUUCAUGCUUGGCCCCUCAAAAGCUCCCUUACCCUUAGGGAACAGCUGGCCUUUGCUGUACUCUGACACUUGCUAACUCAGUGCAAACCAAGAGCUAAGAAUCUGCAGAAAAAAUGAUGCACAAAAUUAUUUAAGUUUUCCUUUUUAUAUAACCUGGGUAGUACUAUCUUGCAUGAAUCCUAUUUGGU
rnacentral:lncRNA from 1 species